GGUGACGGCGUGCUUUUUGUAGAACGAUCCAGCGAGUUAAUUUUUACGGCGAGGUUAAGUCAGAUGAUGAAGCCAUAGUGAAAGCGAGCAUUAACAGUGCGAUUUAGUCGUAAGGAUUAGACCCGAAACCAGGUGACCUAACCAUGAGCAGGUUGAAGCAACCUUAAUCGGUUGUGGAGGACCGAACCAGUGUAUGUUACAAAAUGCUUGGAUGACUUGUGGUUAGCGGUGAAAUGCCAAUCGAACUUGGAGAUAGCUGGUUCUCCGCGAAAUAGUUAUAGGACUAGCGUCGUGUGAUAGCUUACGGGGGUAGAGCUCUGUCAAGAGAUAGGGGGAGCAAUCCUACCUACUCUUAAUAAACUACAAAUACCGUAUGUCUGUAUCACGGCAGUUAGAACGUCGGUGCUAAGAUCGGCGCUCAAAAGGGAAACAGCCCGGACCAUCAUCUAAGGUCCCCAAAUUUACGCUAAGUGGGAAACAAGGUGGAAUUUCUUAAACAGCUAGGAUGUUGGCUUAGAAGCAGCCAUUCAUUUAAAGAGUGCGUAACAGCUCACUAGUCAAGAGAUUCUGCGUGGAAGAUAUAACGGGGCUAAGCGUAAUACCGAAGAUAUGGAUUGCAAUUUAUUGCAGUGGUAGCGGAGCGUUCCUAUCAGCAGUGAAGCCAGACUGUUAAGUACUGGUGGAGCGUUAGGAAGUGAGAAUGCUGGAACGAGUAACCAUAAGACAGGUGAGAAUCCUGUCGGCCGAAAGAGCGAGGUUUCCUGGGCUAUGGUAAUCAUCCCAGGGUUAGUCGGGCCUAAGCCGAGGCGUUUAGCGUAGGCGAUGGACAUCAGGUUAAUAUUCCUGAACUAGUCAAACUUUGUAUGCAGUUAGCGAUGAGAUAGGUGGAGCGGAUUCAUGGUUUAUCCGUUCAAGUGAUAGAGGAAUCUUGAUCGAGUAAAAGUGAACCUACGGGUUUACGAUUCCGCUGAAGGCAUUGACCAGAAAAGCUGGCAUACGCAUGGGUUUGGCUACCCGUACCGCAAACCGACACAGGUGCUCGAGUCGAGGAGACUAAGGCUUACGAGAGAAUGAUUGCUAAGGAACUCGGCAAUACAGCGACCGUAACUUCGGAAUAAGGUCUGCCUACAUUUGUAGGCCGCAGCUAAAGAGCCCACGGAACUGUUUAUCAAAAACUCAGGUCUCUGCUAACACGAAAGUGGAUGUAUAGGGGCUGAAACCUGCCCGGUGCCGGAAGGUUAAGGGGAUUGCUUCACGGUGAGAACUGAAGCCCCGGUGAACGGCGGCGGUAACUAUAACCGUCCUAAGGUAGCGAAAUUCCUUGUCAGGUAAGUUCUGACCCGCACGAAUGGUUAAAUCAUGUGGGCACUGUCUCAGCAAUUAUCUCGGUGAAAAUGCAUUGGCGGUAAAGAUGCCGUCUGUCCGCACCAGGACGAAAAGACCCCGUGGAGCUUCACUACAGCUUUACAUUGUUGUGGGUUCUAACUUGUGUAGUAUAGGUGGGAGACUUUGAAGCAGAUACGCCAGUAUUUGUGGAGUCAUCAGUGAAAUACCACCCCCGUUAGGAUCUGCAUCUAACCUGUGCCGUUAUCCGGUAUAGGGACCGUGUAUGGUUGGUAGUUUAACUGGGGCGGUUGCCUCCUAAAGAGUAGCGGAGGCGUUCAAAGGUUGGCUAGCUACGGAUGGAAAUCGUAGUGGUAGUGUAUACGCAUAAGCCAGCUUGACUGUGAGGAGUACAUUCCGAUCAGAUGCGAAAGCAGGAGUAAGUGAUCCGCUGGACGAACCAUUGGUUCAUGAAUGUGGGAUUGCCAGCGCAAACGGACAAAAGUUACCCCGGGGAUAACAGGCUGAUAGCGCCCAAUAGUUCACAUAGACGGCGCUGUUUGGCACCUCGAUGUCGGCUCAUCACAUCCUGGAGGGGGAGCACCUUCCAAGGGUCCGGCUGUUCGCCGGUUAAAGUGGUACGCGAGCUGGGUUCAGAACGUCGCGAGACAGUUCGGUUUAUAUCCGGUGUGGACGUCAGGAAACUUGCGAGGAUUUGCCCCUAGUACGAGAGGACCGGGGUGAACGCACCUCUGGUGUAUCGGUUGUGACCACCUGUCGCAUUGCCGAGUAGCUAUGUGCGGAGCAGAUAAGCGCUGAAAGCAUAUUAAGCGCGAAACUGACCUCAAGAUUAGGUUUCCCUAUGAGGACACUAAUAGACGAUUAGUUUGAUAGGCACAAGGUGGAAGCACAGUAAUGUGUGGAGCUGAAGUGUACUAAUAGUCCCACUGCCUUUUUA
rnacentral:rRNA from 1 species